rnacentral:tRNA from 1 species
AGGGCAGUGGCUCAAUUGGUAGAGCAGCGGUCUCCAAAACCGCAGGUUGCAGGUUCGAGUCCUGUCUGCCCUGCAA